UAUAAAAUUAAAAGUUAAAAGUUGAAAAUAUCUGACCAAUGGGAUGCAAUCCAACAGACAAGAAUGUCAUAUAGAAACCCAUUUUCCUUUGGACUUUGAACUAAGCAAUACUCAACAAGCAAUUAACACUAUCAUACAUCAUGAAGAUCAAGGCAUCAAAUAAAGAUAGCCACAUCCAAGCAAGCUAUUCCCAUAGCUAACGGUCUUUUUUGUCUUCCCAUGUAUCAGAUGAAAUAUUCAUUGAUCAAC
rnacentral:lncRNA from 1 species